GCCUGGCUGGCUCAGUUGGUAGAGCAUGUGACUCUUGAUCUCAGGGUCAUAAGUUCAAGCCCCAUGUUGGGUG
rfam:Ailuropoda melanoleuca scaffold1240_9, whole genome shotgun sequence.